rnacentral:rRNA from 1 species
GACAGAGGUUGCAAACGUUGUUCGGAAUUACUGGGCAUAAAGCGCACGUAGGCGGUCCGUUAAGUCAUGUGUGAAAUCCCCCGGCUCAACCGGGGAAUUGCGCCUGAUACUGGCGAGCUCGAGGGAGGUAGGGGUCUGUGGAACUUCUGGUGGAGCGGUGAAAUGCGUUGAUAUCAGAAGGAACGCCGGUGGCGAAAGCGACGGACUGGACCUCUUCUGACGCUGAGGCGCGAAAGCUAGGGGAGCAAACGGG